CACGUGGACACGGCUCUCUGUCCCGCGGUCGGGUGCCCAGGACGGAGAGCAGGGGUGGGGCGGGCCGAUUCCUGCUAGGCUCCAGAACUAGACCGGAGCUGGCUUAACAGGGCUGUGCUUGGGAUAGGGCUCCCCCCAUCCUCAGGCAGUUGAACUCUGCACUGAGUCGCCUGGUCGCCUGCCCACUGGACUCCGCUUGCUGCAAUUCCCUCACUGAAGCACUGGUGCCCCCUCCACCUGGAAGGGACAGGUGUGUCCCCUUCUAAAGACAAAUCUUGCCAUCUCUCUGAGAACUAGCCUGCUGGAGGAUGAAAGACCUACGGAGCAGAGCUGAGUCCUCGCAGCUGAGGCCACCCUGACCAGACAGCCUUCAGUUACUGCAGAGGCCCAAGCAAGUCCACAUGAGAUCAGCCAGGCUCGGUUCAGAUCAGCAGAGCCACCACCCAACUGAGAGAUUCAUUAGAAACAAUAUUGGGUCAGUCAAAAAGUCUGUGUGAUUUUUUUCUGUAAAAUAAAAGACACGUUUUUCAUUCUCACCAA